UCUGGCGACCGGCGCACGGGUGAGUAACACGUAUCCAACCUGCCCUUUACUCGGGGAUAGCCUUUCGAAAGAAAGAUUAAUACCCGAUGGCAUAAUGAUUCCGCAUGGUUUGAUUAUUAAAGGAUUCCGGUAAAGGAUGGGGAUGCGUUCCAUUAGGUUGUUGGUGAGGUAACGGCUCACCAAGCCUUCGAUGGAUAGGGGUUCUGAGAGGAAGGUCCCCCACAUUGGAACUGAGACACGGUCCAA
rnacentral:rRNA from 1 species